AUAAGUGUACAAGCCAAGCAUAGACUCAAACAUAAAUAUAACCUACACUACUAAUUCAAAGUACAAAGAAAAAGAAAAAGAAAAAUCCUUGUCCAAUGCUGGCAUCCAUUAGUAGAUGUCAUCAGCGCAGAUCCUCAUCUGAGUAAUCAUCCUCCUCCUCCUGGGCAUCCUCAAAAUCUUCAUCCUCCUGGUCAUCGUCCUGUCCUCCUGAAUUCCCAGCAGCUCCGGACCCACUACCAUGUGCCUGUCCCUGAGGCCAAGCCAUCACACUACGAAACUCAUCCAUGGUCCACCUGUGCACUGGUGGCUGGUCAUAAAGUCCUAUGAUCAUCUCGGCAGUGGCCUCCUACCCUGUGCAAAGGGACUCCAUCCUCGC
rnacentral:lncRNA from 1 species